ACUCUAAGGAGACUGCCGGUGUUAAACCGGAGGAAGGCGGGGAUGACGUCAAGUCCUCACUGGCCCUUAUGUCCAGGGCUACACACGUGCUACAAUGGCCGGUACAAAGGGUAGCAAGACCGCGAGGUGGAGCCAACCCCAAAAAGCCGGUCUCAGUUCGGAGUUGGAGUCUGCAACUCGACUCCAUGAAGUUGGAAUCGCUAGUAAUCGUGGAUCAGCAUGCCACGGUGAAUACGUUCCCGGGCCUU
rnacentral:rRNA from 1 species